rnacentral:rRNA from 1 species
UACGAAGGGGGCUAGCGUUGCUCGGAAUUACUGGGCGUAAAGGGCGCGUAGGCGGAUACUUAAGUUGGGGGUGAAAGCCCGGGGCUCAACCUCGGAAUUGCCUUCAAUACUGGGUAUCUUGGGUACGGGAGAGGUGAGUGGAACUCCGAGUGUAGAGGUGAAAUUCGUAGAUAUUCGGAAGAACACCAGUGGCGAAGGCGACUCACUGGCCCGUUACUGACGCUGAGGCGCGAAAGCGUGGGGAGCAAACAGG